rnacentral:rRNA from 1 species
CAAUAGCGUAUAUUAACGUUGUUGCAGUUAAAAAGCUCGUAGUUGGAUUUCUGGAGGGAGCGUCGGCCCGUAUUUACGAGUGCGUGACGUCUCUGUCCAUCCUUGCGGGAAGGCACGGCAUUGAUUUGUUGUGUCGGAUCGCAUCAUUUACUGUGAAAAAAUUAGAGUGUUCAAAGCAGGCUUUCGCUUGAAUACAUUAGCAUGGAAUAAUAAGAUAGGACUUUGGUGCUGUUUUGUUGGUUGAGCCUAAAGUAAUGAUUAAUAGGGAUAGUUGGGGGCACCUGUAUUGCGUUGUCAGAGGUGAAAUUCUUGGAUUUACGCAAGACAAACAGCUGCGAAAGCGUCUGCCAAGGAUGUUUNCAUUA